rnacentral:lncRNA from 1 species
AUGGGGACACUGGGGUCCCUGUGGGGACUUUGGAGUCUCAAUGGGGACAUUGGGGUCUCUAUGGGUCGUUGGGGUCUCUAUGUAGCAUUGGGAUCUCUAUAGGGUCAGUGGGGUCUCUGUAGGGUCAAUGGGGUCUCUAUGGGGACAUUAGGGUCCCUGUGGGGACAAUGGGGUCUCUAUGGGACAUUGGGGUCUCUGUGGGGACUUUGGGGUCUCUAUGGGGACAAUGGGGUCUCUAUGGGACUUUGGGGUCUCUAUGGGGACAUUGGGGUCUCUAUGGGACUUUGGGGUCUCUAUGGGGACAUUGGGGUCUCUAUGGGGAUUUUGGGGUCUCUAUGUGGCAUUGGGAUCUCUAUAGGGUCAAUGGGGUCUCUAUAGGGUCAGUGGGGUCUCUAUGGGACUUUGGGGUCUUUAUGGGAUCAAUGGGGUCUCUAUGGGACUUUGGGGUCUCUAUGAGGUCAAUGGGGUCCCUAUGGCAAUUUUGGGGUCCCUGUAUGGGGCCGUUGUGACCCCCACCCAUGAGUGCGGUUGUCCCCCCUGUAGGGGGCGCUGCAGAGCUCGGUGGGGACGCAGCGGUGCCCCCCAAAGGUGUUGACGCAGCGCUGCUCCGCCCCACAGCUGUGGGUCCCUUCCUGGCACUCAUCCACGUCUGGGGGGGGGGGAAUGGGGGGAGAUGGGGGGCAUUGGGAUCCUUUCGGUGGCCCCAUAGCGCCCCACAGCUCCCCGCUGCCCCCCGUCGUCCUGUACCCCCCCCAUACCCUAUAAAAGCCCCCCCAUUCCCCAUUACACCCUAUAGACCCGCAGUGACCCCAUAACCCCAUAUGACCCCAUAACAUGACCCCGUAUGACCCCACAACCACCCAUGACCCCAUAACAUGACCCCAUGUCCCCGUAUGACCCCACGACCACCCAUGACCCCAUAACAUGACCCCAUAAGACCCCACAACCACCCACAACCCCAUAACAUGACCCCGUAUGAGCCCACGACCACCCAUGACCCCAUAACA